GGUGCCAGAGUUCGUAUAUGACUCCAGUCCUGGCGCUGGAUGCUGCUGCUGUUCCAGCUUCCUAGGUGUGGAAACUGAAGGACCAAGAGAUUAAACAGUGGUGCAAAAGUGGUAAGAAUUCAGCAUUCUCCUCGACAAGUGGACGAGCAUCUACUGUGCUUUCACAGCGGCUAUCACUAUUGCCAGCAGCAAGACUGUCAGCUCGGCGCCCUCGUCUGGUUGGAUGGGAAACUGCAGUUGCUAAGGGAGCUGGGAAUCUCUGAGGACAAAUGGGAAUUCUCACUGAUUUCUAGGACUACCCUGGGGCAGGCACCCUGCACAGCAAUACACACUGAACAAUGUCGAGUUUCUGCUGAAUAGACUUCCUACGUUGCUCUGGAAUUCGAAGUUGGCCUAACUGAGGUCUCCAGUUACAGAAAACACUGGCUCUGUAUCCUGGGCUUUGAGAAAACUUAUCAGGCUGUCACACUUACCAUCCCUUCAGUCUGCUUGUCAGGUUCCUUAAGGACGCAUAUCUCAAAUGUAUGGCAUCUACCUCUACCUGGGUCACAACCAAGUGGGUUUCUACUAGAUCGGUGUUCCUUGACAGCCAACAAGGGAGCUGACACUGCCCUCCUAAGUUCUGAUCUUGCUCCUGUUCAACUGGAACUUGAUGGAUCCCAUGUGGUUUCCCCCAUCCUGACGCUGUGGCUCAGACACUCUCCCUAAGCUGGUCCUUCCCUCCAAAUCCUGCCUUAAACACACUCAGAAGGUAGAAAACACUUCAGCAGCAAAGUCCUCUUCCCAAGCCAACAGUUGUGUUCUUCCAAUCACAUGAUCUUACCUUUUCAAUAAAAGGCAAAACAAACCAAUUUCCAACAUAGCAUUACAGCCUUUAAAACCAUUCACUUCUCAUAGUGAUUCACAGAGAACAAGAGAUUAAAGUGCUGGAUUUUAAAUG
rnacentral:lncRNA from 1 species